UUAUUUAUUUAAGAGGUGUGUAUACCAAUAUACGGUUCUUAGUGUGAUGUAUAUUUAAAUUAGGGUGGUAGCAAAGUUUGUAAUCAUAACCGGAUUUUAAUAAUACGUCAUUAUAGAUUGGGGUGUCUCUCCCUCCCUCUCAAUCAUCAAUGAAUUUUUUGUUUAUUUAAUGGGGAAAUUUAACUCUUUUAGACCAGUCAGUCGCCAAGUUGCAAAAAACGAGGACAUUUUUUUUUCGGUCGACAUAAGUUUUAAUGGCAUCCCCACGUGACACCUACUCGUGCACGGCCCUGGUUACAACUCGCGAGGAUGAUAUCAUUCAUAGAGAAAUCUGAUCAAAGGAAUGACACCAAAUCAAAGGAAUGACACCAAAACAAAGUUGUUGUUGAAAAAUCACAAGAAAUUGUUUCGACAGUUAAAAAAUAGGAUAAAAAUUAUCAAACCAA